GGAUGAGGUAGUAGUUUGUAUAGUUUUAGGAUCACACCAGAUCUGGGAGAUAACUAUACAGUCUACUGUCUUUC
rnacentral:pre_miRNA from 1 species